UCAGCAAUGGCGUUCGUCCGGACCGACCGCUGCCGCCACACAUGAAGCACGGUGCAAGGUGGUUUGGCGCUGUGGUUUGGUGAGACGGUAAUAGUAAAUUUCGAGAGCUUGCGUUUCUCUCAGGAGUUCGGCGUUGCUCCCUACAGGUCGGUCCGGUAUUGCACUAGCUUCGGAAUGGCCCCAUGUACGGUAGCGCCGGAAGACGCCAACUAGCCAGCUGUGGAACAAGACGGCGACGCUAGAGCGAAUCCUGAUGACGAUAGUUUUGUGUCUACACGUGGACACAAAUCGGGUGGAACUAGCCCUUAGCCGCUUCGCUGUAAAAAAAGAAAGACAAGUUAGACGUUAUUCCCUAUGCACACUGGAUGGGACAUGGACUGGAGGAAAUCUCUAAUAAAUGUCAGGCACUUAGAGAAGACAGGAAGGACAGAAAUAGAUGCUCACGGGUGGCCCAAGGUUUUUUUACUUUUUUAGAGGUUUGAAUGUUUUGAAAGGAAAAUGUUUUGCGAAGUUACGAAUAAAAAUUUUAAUGAAGUCAU